rnacentral:rRNA from 1 species
UACGUAGGGUGCGAGCGUUAAUCGGAAUUACUGGGCGUAAAGGGUGCGCAGGCGGUUUUGUAAGUCAGAUGUGAAAUCCCCGGGCUUAACCUGGGAAUUGCGUUUGAAACUACAAAACUAGAGUGUAGCAGAGGGAGGUGGAAUUCCAUGUGUAGCAGUGAAAUGCGUAGAGAUAUGGAAGAACAUCGAUGGCGAAGGCAGCCUCCUGGGUUAACACUGACGCUCAUGCACGAAAGCGUGGGGAGCAAAC